GAUGAAGAACGCAGCGAAAUGCGAUAAGUAAUGUGAAUUGCAGAAUUCAGUGAAUCAUCGAAUCUUUGAACGCACAUUGCGCCCCCCAGUAUUCUGGCGGGCAUGCCUGUUCGAGCGUCAUUUCAACCAUCAAGCCCUGCUUGUGUUGGGGUCCUGCGGCUGCCCGCAGGCCCUGAAAACCAGUGGCGGGCUCGCUAGUCACACCGAGCGCAGUAGCACAUCUCGCUCAGGGCGUGCGGCGGGCACCAGCCGUUAAAGCACCCACCUUUCGCAAGGUUGACCUCGGAUCAGGUAGGAAUACCCGCUGAACUUAAGCAUAUCAAUAAGCGGAGGA
rnacentral:misc_RNA from 1 species